rnacentral:rRNA from 1 species
GAUGAACGCUAGCGACAGGCCUAACACAUGCAAGUCGAGGGGCAGCACAUGAGUAGCAAUACGAUGGUGGCGACCGGCGCACGGGUGAGUAACACGUAUGCAACCUGCCUUCUACUAGGGGAUAACCCGUUGAAAGACGGACUAAUACCGUAUAAUACAGGGGCUCCGCAUGGAGAUAUUUGUUAAAGAUUUAUUGGUAGAAGAUGGGCAUGCGUAUGAUUAGAUAGUUGGUGAGGUAACGGCUCACCAAGUCAACGAUCAUUAGGGGUUCUGAGAGGAAGGUCCCCCACACUGGUACUGAGACACGGACCAGACUCCUACGGGAGGCAGCAGUGAGGAAUAUUGGUCAAUGGACGAGAGUCUGAACCAGCCAAGUCGCGUGAAGGAAGACGGUUCUAUGAAUUGUAAACUUCUUUUGUGCAGGAAUAAAGUGGGUUACGUGUAACCUUUUGUAUGUACUGUACGAAUAAGGAUCGGCUAACUCCGUGCCAGCAGCCGCCGUAA